rnacentral:rRNA from 1 species
GACGAACGCUGGCGGCGUGCCUAAUACAUGCAAGUCGAACGCAGUGGGGACAGGUGAGUAACACGUGGGUAACCUCCCAUCAGAGGGGAUAACCCUUGGAAACCGGUGCUAAACCUGAUACUGACGGAACGACCCGCGGUGCAUUAGCUAGUUGGUGAGGUAACGGCCCAUAAAGGCCACGAUGCAUAGCCGGCCUGUGAGGGUGAUCAGCCACACUGGAACUGAGACACGGCCCAGACUCCUACGGGAGGCAGCAUUGGGGAAUCUUGGGCAAUGGACGAAAGCCUGAUGCAGCCACGCCGCGUGAGUGAAGAAGGUUUUCGGAUCGUAAAACUCUGUUGUUGGAGAGGCGUUAUCUAACCAGAAAGCCCCGGCUAACUCCGUGCCAGCAGCCGCGGUAAUAC